rnacentral:rRNA from 1 species
UCGAACGGUAGCACAGAGAGCUUGCUCUCUGGGUGACGAGUGGCGGACGGGUGAGUAAUGUCUGGGAAACUGCCCGAUGGAGGGGGAUAACUACUGGAACGGUAGCUAAUACCGCAUAAUGUCGCAAGACCAAAGAGGGGGACCUUCGGGCCCUCUUUGCAAUCGGAUGUGCCCAGAUGGGAUUAGCUUUGUAGGUGGGGGUAACGGCUCACCCUAAGGCGACGAUCCCCUAAGCUGGUCUGAGAGGAUGACCAGGCCACACUGGAACUGAGACACGGUCCAGACUCCUACGGGGAGGCAGGCAGUGGGGGAUUAUUGCACAAUGGCCGCAAGCCCUGAUGCAGCCCAUGCCGGCGUUGUAUGAAGAAAGGCCUUUCGGGUUGAAAAGUACUUUUCAGCGAGGAGGAAGGCGUUUGUGGUUAAUAACCCACAGCGAUUGACGUUACUUCGGAGAAAAAGCACCGGCUAACUCCGUGCCAGCAGCC